CAUCAAAAUGAGAAGGGACAGGAUGCUGAGCAUUUUCUGUGAGGGCUCUGCAUCUUAGCAAUUAAAAAACUGGAUCUGUAAUCUCAUUCAGUUACCUCACCAAUAAGACAAGAUAUUUUUUUUGUCUUAGGUUUAUUUUUACUGAGUGAUAGAGGACAGCAGGAUGUCAGUGAGGGAAAUGGAAGGCACCUGCUUGGCAUUCAGUGCCUGAUAGUUUCUAAUGCUGCGGGUUGGAAAAGCUUAAUGUAGAAUUUGCUUUAAAAGAAAGAGGGGAAAAAACAGUUAAUAAAUCAAAAGAGAUAUGUGGCUGUGGUGCACGGAUCCUUGAGAUCUGGCAUUUAGAGAACCAGCAGUGGAUUUGGCACCCAAGGACAAGCAGCACUACUCCUGCCUCCAUAGCAGCUCUCAGCAAAUCCUCCCUGCCAUAUCCAGCACAACCUUCCCAGUCACAAGUUGUCCUUGGGAUGACCCAUAGGACUUUUCCAGCUACUGAAGUCCUCCUCUCUUCCGCCUAUUCCCUCAGAACGCAUCAGUUUUCUAUUUUAAAAAUAUCAAGUCACCCUAUCUCAGCUGCAUUAUAAAAAAGACAAACAAAACAACCCAAAACAGUUUUGUGUGUGCGGAGCAAGAAAAAAAAAACACUUCAAACCCGAAGAAGUUUCCAAUAAGUCACUCAUUGAAAUUCAGGAAGAAAAAACCCCAAAGGGUAAAAAUACCCCCACGUAUCCAAGUUCUCUGAGGCCAUUUCUUUCCCUCAUCUGUGUUCCAUCAUCUUCUUCCUUAUCCAAAAAAGUUGUGGUGUCCGUGGGAGUAUGAAAAAACAUUGGUGUGACCACGGAAAGGAACUCUGUGUCUGGCAGCAGAAAGCCACGCGUUAUCCCGUCUCCAGGAACUCAGCCUUCCUUCGAUGGUCAUAAAUAUUCUCUGAUGACAAAGCAGAGGGUAGUCAUUCAACCAGACUGAAUAAUACUGCACAACCCUGAAAAGCACACUGGGAUCUGUGUUCUGUCCCCAGCCACAACAAAAGCUGAGGAAACAACCCGACUGGCCUCAUGUGUAGGACACCCUGUGCUGUCACAUCCACGUUCAGGAGGAUUCAGGCAGGAGUGCUGGACUUCCCCCUCUCAGAGGUCUCAAUGCACCUGGUGGCCAUAAAAUUUGUCUGAGGACAGUGUCAUCCACAGUAGCCCUUGGUGAAGGACUUUACAAAACAUUCAGACACAAGUUUUUUGAAGGGAGGGGGAAAAAAACCACUCGUUACACCAUUAACUUUACACUACACUGUGUAAUCAAAGAUCUCCUAACUUUCAAGACAGUGUUACUUGACAUCUUGUUGCAUAAAUAUUUUUUGCCUGUGCAAGCAAAUCUGGGAAUUAUCAGUAACGUAUGCCAUAGUCUUGCCAAAGUUAUUGAUGAGAAAACGAUCUUCAUGACCAACCUUCCCCUAACCAGAAGAAAAAAAAAAGACUUAAAUGUAAGCCACUCUCUUCUGCUGGCCUCCCUUUUCCCCCCCCAAACCCCAAAUUAAUAAAUUUAGAGUGAAUAAACAAAUAAUCACUUUAAGCUUACCCACACCCCUUCUCCUUUUAGGGUAGCCUUAUAAAUUAAAUUUAAUCUUACCCUUCAAGGUAGAAACAGGUAAUAAAACUAACCUGUUUAUUAGGCAGUGUAGUUUGAGAAUUAUACUCGCAUUUCUGCAUUUGAGAACGUGAGGGAUUGUUGACACAAUGGAGGCCAAGCAUGCAUUUAUGGUGCAUGAUAUCACCAUGGGGCUCACAGAGGCAGUUUACUUAUUCCACAGAUGACUGCCACAAGAGAAUGUAAUUGCUCAAUAAUGUGUCAAUGUACCCAUGGGAAGCAUUUAAGUCAUCUGAGACCUGUAUUGGGAACUUGCCAGGGACCCUAGCACUACCUCUAAUUUGCACGAAAUGGAGGAAUUGUGGCCAUCUUCUACAGUAAGGAUAAACAGAACAAGGGAGGAAGCUGGGAUGAGUCAAAAAGGUACCUCUUUCUCAGAAAACUGAACAAAACUGGAAGAGGAAAAACUGUUCCCCAGAUUCAGGAAAUAAAAGCUGUUAACAAACUUCUAAGCAGGCGAGUCAACAUCAGUGUGGUAUACUCCAGCACAUGAGAUGAUCUGCACUGGGGAGAAAUUACCUCACCAAGAACUAAAGCCUCCGAAAUAGAUCUAACACCAGACUGAAAAGCUAUUUAUAGACAAUGAAAUCCUCAUCUCCACCAUGGCUUUAUUUUUUAAGUAAUAAAUCAAGUUAAAGCGAAACAUCCAAGUGAUUGGAUAUUAGUGUGACACAAAUAACAAUUAAAACUCUCUGAACAUUGCAAAUCAAGUACCAUUGUGUAAGAUCAGAUUAAUAAAUCACAGUCUUUUCCAUACUUCUCAAGAAUUAAAGGGUCACAGGAUGAGAUCCAACUUCAUGGAUACGUACUUUUAUGCAUGUAACUACUUCCAUUGAUUUUGAGAAUGCUACCCAUAUGCUUUAGUUCGGGUUCAUAAAAAUAUCUGGGUGAGCCAAAGCCUUCGUAACGACAUCAUCACUGGAAGUUUUGGGAAACUUUUCAAGCCAAUGGAAAUUGAUAUCCCUCCAAUAAGACCCACAACAAUGUAACGAGACCCUGCAGCUAAAGUGAGAAUGAUUAGAGUCUGCAGUGGCUCAAACAAAACAGGAAUUAACAGCCUUUCCCAGCAUCCUACUGGAGAAUCUUUCAUGAACUUUGAAAUGGUUUACAGGAUGUUUUCUGUUCACCUUUCUUCAAGACACAGCUCAGAAGAACCUGUCCCCUUUUAGCUCAAAUGGGUUCAGUCCUCAAUCCCACAAUGAGUCAAAGGAUCUGACUGAAGGACAUGCACUGUGCCAUGCCAUGAUGCUCAGCUCAGGGCCCACAUAUGGCCUACUCCAUAUAAAAAAAAUAAAAAAA
rnacentral:lncRNA from 1 species